UCUCCAUUGGUGCUGCUGCCAUGACGACGUGCUAGGAAGGCUGUGAAGAGCCUCGCUGGCCCCAGGAAGAGGUUUCAGGGAGGAUAUUCCUAGCAGCUGCCUAAACCACUGGUUUCGGGGAUCCUCCCUGCUUCUCCUCUGCUCAGCACUGGCUGCCCAUAUGUGCUUUUCCUUGGUGGAAUGGGAAGACACCUCUGGACAAGCUGAUGAGCUCCCAGACCCAUCAUUUCAGAUCCAUACGGACUGUAGCCUGCCAGGCUCCUCUGUCCAGGGGACUCUCCAGGCAAGAAUACUGGAAUGGGUUGCCAUGCCUCCUCCAGGGGAUCAUCCCCAUCCAGCGAUCGAACCCAUGUCUCAUGUCUCCAGCAUUGGCAGAGUGGCUGGGCCCAACAACAUCAGCAUCAACUGGGAACUGCUAAGCAUGCAAAGUGUUGGACUGCACUGGACUUUCUGAGUCAGAAACUGGGAAUGGAGAAGGAAGCCUGUAUUUUAAAGAGCUCUGCAGGAGGUUCUGAUACACAUCCAAGUUUGAGAGCUGCCAUGCUGUAAAGUAUCACAUUCACAGGUCUGUGAUGAACAUUUAUAAAUUCCUACAAGAUGACACCUGGUACCUGAAGAGUUCUUGCACUCAGGUGGGCAAUAAACUGUUCCAUUAAUACAAUGUUCUGAUCAUAAAAUGGAUUCCAAAUAAAAUAUGUAUCCUUAUAUUAAGGAGUCUAACUCUUAAGAAAGAUUCUAUCUGAUAUGUCAUUAACCUUUUCAAAACCAGUGGUUUUGGAGCAGUGGAUUCAAAAUGAAGAAAAGGCCAAAUCCCCUUCUUACUAAAUGGUCACACAAAGACAUGGACCAGCUCUGUCUCUAAAGCAGUCAGUAUCAUGAACAACAUAUCCAGUGGGGACAUCUCACCUCCAAGGUUGAGGGGCCCAUGGCUGAUUCACUAGAUGGAGGUUGUAGGAGUCUCUGGGGGCAUCCCUUCACACAAUGCUUUCUUUUUCUAGCUCAUAGAUGUGAAUAAUUACUUAUUUAUACACUCUUUCCUUUCUUCUAUGGUUAUAUUAAUUUUACGACAUAAUAUGUGGUCUUUAAGAAGAGAUGGCAAGAAUACACAGAAGAACUGUACAAAAAAAAAUCUUCACUACCAAGAUAAUCAUGAUGGUGUGAUCACUCACCUAGAACCAGAUGUCCUGGAAUGUGAAGUCAAGUGGGCCUUACAAAGCAUCACUACAAACAAAGCUAGUGGAGGUGAUGGAAUUCCAGUUGAGCUAUUUCAAAUCCUGGAAGAUGAUGCUGUGAAAGUGCUGUACCCAAUAUGCCAGCAAAUUUGGAAACUUCAGCAGUGGCCACAGGACUGGAAAAGGUCAGUUUUCAUUCCAAUUGCAAAGAAAAGCAAUGCCAAAGAAUGCUCAAACUACCGCCCAAGUGCACUCAUCUCACACACUAGUAAAGUAAUGCUCAAAAUUCUCCAAGCUAGGCUUCAGCAAUACAUGAACCAUGAACUUCCUGAUGUUCAAGCUAGUUUUAGAAAACGCAGAGGAACCAGAAAUCAAACUACCAACAUCCGCUGGAUCAUGGAAAACAGCAAGAGAGUUCCAGAAAAACAUCUAUUUCUGCUUUAUUGACUAUGCCAAAGCCUUUGACUGUGUGGAUCACAAUAAACUGUGGAAAAUUCUGAGAGAGAUGGGAAUACCAGACCACCUGACCUGCCUCUUGAGAAACCUAUAUGCAGGUCAGGAAGCAACAGUUAGAACUGGACAUGGGAACAACAGACUGGUUCCAAAUAGGAAAAGGAGUACGUCAAGGCUGUAUAUUGUCACCCUGCUUCUUAAACUUCUAUGCAGAGUACAUCAUGAGAAACACCGGGCUGGAAGAAGCACAAGCUAGAAUCAAGAUUGCAGGAAGAAAUAUCAAUAACCUCAGAUGUGCA
ensembl:lncRNA